GGCUCUGUAGUGUAGUGGUUAUCACCCGGGAUUCUGAUUACGCGCAUUCCCGUGACCCAGGUUCGAUCCCUGGCAGGGCCU
rnacentral:tRNA from 1 species